rnacentral:rRNA from 1 species
ACUACGGGAGGCAGCAGUGAGGAAUAUUGGUCAAUGGCCGAGAGGCUGAACCAGCCAAGUCGCGUGAGGGAAGACGGCCCUACGGGUUGUAAACCUCUUUUGUCGGGGAGCAAAGAGAGUCACGUGUGACUGAUUGAGAGUACCCGAAGAAAAAGCAUCGGCUAACUCCGUGCCAGCAGCCGCGGUAAUACGGAGGAUGCGAGCGUUAUCCGGAUUUAUUGGGGUAAAAGGGUGCGCAGGCGGAGGUGCAAGUCAGCGGUCCGAUUGCGGGGCUCAACCCCGUACUGCCGUUGAAACUGCAUCCCUUGAGUGCGCGAGAAGUAUGCGGAAUGCGUGGUGUAGCGGUGAAAUGCAUAGAUAUCACGCAGAACUCCGAUUGCGAAGGCAGCAUACCGGCGCGCAACUGACGCUCAUGCACGAAAGCGUGGGUAUCGAACAGGAUUAGAUACCCCAGUAGUC